GCGCCUGCGUAAAACGGGCAAGGGAGCUGCCAGUAUUAAAUAGUGCUUGCUGCUCUUGCGUUCUGUGUGAGGAGCGUUGAAUAGAAGACGUGAUGGAUGAAGAAUUAAAAUGCCCCGUUUGCGGUUCUCUUUUCAAGGAUCCUAUUCUUUUACCUUGCUCGCACAAUGUGUGUUUGGCGUGCGCCCGAAAUAUCAUUGUACAGACCCCAGAAGGCGAAACACCACCGCAUAACCGUGCCUCCAACUCGGACUACGAUUAUUUGGAUAUGGACAAAAUGAGCAUGUAUAGUGAAACGGACAGCGGUUAUGGAUCAUACACGCCGUGCCUCAAGUCUCCAAAUGGGGUGAGGGUGUUUCCUCCGACUCUGGUGCACCGCCACUGCUCCAUAACGUGUCCUCUCUGUCACCGUAGUGUCUCUCUGGAUGAGCGGGGGCUGAGGGGCUUUCCACGUAACCGGCUACUGGAGGCGAUCGUGUCUCGGUAUCAACAGAGCCGCUCUGCCAACGUGAAAUGUCAGCUAUGUGACCGCAACCCUGUCGAUGCCACUGUGAUGUGCGAGCAGUGUGACGUGUUUUACUGCACACCUUGCCAGCAGCGAUGCCACCCUUCCCGUGGACCGCUGGCCAAACAUCGAUUAGUGCCACCGACCCAAUCGCCAGUUGCAGGAGGACAGCAGAUGCCCACCGCCACCUUGCGCAAACAGGGAACAUGUGCAGACCAUGACACGGUGAACUUUAGCAUGUACUGCAUCAACUGCAAGACUCCAGUGUGCAUGAAGUGUCUGGAGGGUGGCAAGCAUGGGAGUCACGAUGUAAAACCUUUAGCGGCCAUGUGGAAACAGCACAAGUGUCAACUGUCCCAAGCUUUGAAUGGUGUGUCGGAUAAAGCCAAGGAUGCGAAGGAAUUUCUGGUGCAGUUGAAGAACAUGCUUCAGCAGAUACAGGAGAAUGGGGUGGAGUUCGAGGCCUGCCUGGUGGCUCAGUGUGACGCCCUUAUUGAGGCUCUGACGCGGCAGAAAGCCAAGCUCCUCACCAAGGUUACCAAAGAGAGGGAGUACAAGCUCAAGGUGGUGCGUGACCAGAUCACUCACUGCACUAUGAAGCUACGUCAGACUACAGGCAUGAUGGAGUACUGUCUGGAGGUGAUCAAAGAGAACGACCCCAGCGGCUUCCUGCAGAUCUCCGAUGCGCUGAUCAAACGUGUGACAUCGUCUCAGGACCAGUGGGUCAAAGGGGCUCUGGAGCCCAAGGUGGGCCCUGAGUUUGACCUGACCCUGAAUACCGACCCCCUGCUUCAGACCAUAAUACAGCUGGACUUUGUCCAGAGCAAAGAUAUUCAGGAGACUCCAUUAUUGAAACAAAUGCAUGCAGGUGGACUGAAAGACACGGAGAGCUCAGGAGUGGAGUCUGCCAACGUGCCCCCGGCCCCCCUGCUGCAGCUGGAGAAGUGCUGCACCCGCAACAACAGUGCCACCCUGGCCUGGAGGGUCAGUGUGUCCCCUAGCAACCCCAUUGAAGGCUACGUCCUGGAGCUGGACGACGGCAACGGGGGUCAAUACAGGGAGGUGUAUGUAGGGAAGGAGACCGUGUGCACCGUGGACGGCCUCCACUUCAACAGUUCCUACAACGCCAGAGUCAAGGCCUACAACUCCACCGGGGUGGGGCCCUAUAGCAAAACUGUGGUGCUGAAGACAUCUGACGUGGCCUGGUUCACCUUCGACCCCGCCUCGGCUCACAGGGACAUUGUGUUGACCAAUGAGAACCAGACGGUGAGCUGCAACAGCUAUGAUGACCGUGUGGUGCUGGGGACUGCCGCCUUCUCCAAGGGGGUACAUUACUGGGAGCUCAUGGUGGAUCGCUAUGACAACCACCCGGACCCAGCGUUCGGGGUGGCGAGGAUCAACACGAUGAAGGACAUGAUGCUGGGGAAGGAUGAUAAGGCCUGGGCCAUGUACGUGGACAACAACCGCAGCUGGUUCAUGCACAACAACUCCCACACCAACAGCUGUCACGUUGGAGCCUAUCACCCACAAUGACUCACUCAUUUCCCUCAUUAAAGUGCCAGGUAUACAUGAAUGUCAGGGCCGAGGGGGGCAUCAGCAAGGGUGCCACUGUGGGCAUCCUGCUGGACCUGAACAAGCACACUGUAACGUUCUUUAUCAACAAACAGCAGCAUGGCCCCGUGGCCUUCGAGAACCUGGAGGGAGUCUUCAUGCCUGCUGUCAGCAUCAACAGGAAUGUCCAGGUUACCCUACUAACAGGAAUGGAGGUGCCAAAGAAUUUUAAGCAGCAGUAGCCUCUUAAGGUGUCCUGGCACAGUCCCACCAAUGUCAAAAUGUACUCCUCCUGCUCCAUCCCCAUCUGUUCUUGCUACUACAGCAUAUCUUAUGCUGUUUAAUGCCUACGAUCAAAUAUCACCCUUGGAGGGAGUCUUAUAUACGAGGGACUUUUGUAUAUAAAAUAUUCUGUUGUUUUUGUAAUUUUCCAAGUCCUAAUUGCAUCUCAAGCCGUACAAUCAGAUUCAGUGUUUACAGUCAAAAUGCCACAGGGUGCUUUAAUGAAGUGCAUCACUAGAACGAAAUCCCAUGAGGGUAGAGUCAUGAGAUGUCCUACAGUACCAUUCCUCUACUUCUCUUCUCUCAGGUUCCUUCAUAGAGACUUUCUAUACUCCAAUUUCUUUAUAGGAAAUCACUAGAUGGGUUAAAUGCGGAAGACACAUUUCUGUUGAAUGCAUGUACAACUGACUAUUUAUCCUCCUUUCCUUUCCCUUCUCAUUCAAAAGUUGAGAAUAAUCGAGAUUUUCUUAGACACAUUAUCAGUGAAAUACUGUCUUUGCAACUUUACAAAGCCUUUCCAUACCAGAAUUGGAAUAAAUUCAACUUGAAAUCUGCUCAAUUGAAAAUGACCUAUGGGGAUUUUAUACACUAUACAUUUAAUUGAAUGAAAUUGAAUUCACCCCAGCAUAGAUCGUCAGAUCUGUGUAAAGGACUAAUCAGAGGACAAACGGUACCUACAAUUCUGUCACUAGAUGACAAAUCUUGGUUCAAAGUGAAGCCAAACCACUGUGACAUUGAGAUGUAACAUAGCCAUGUAUAUUUUGUCAAACUAUUUAAAAUGCAAAUAUGUAUCUUUUUUCAAACGAUUUACUGUAUAUGCAUUGGGUUUUACUACACUAUUGAAAUAUUUAUUAAGAGGGUGUAUGCUCAUGUGAAUAAACAAGUAUUGUUAAAGGUAUUGUAAAGCAGUUAGAAAUAUUGUAUUGACAGACCACUAGAGGGUCAAGAUAGUAUGUAAGGAAAUUGUAAAUAUGACUAAUGUGUCCUAAGCAUGCAUUCUAAGCAAACUAGUUAACUAAACUCCAUCUGUACAUAGUAAAACUAUUCCUAAAACAGUGAUAUGCAGAAGCCUUUCAAACUACCUAGUACAGUAAAAUACAUUUGCCCCCUAGAGUUUGAAGUCAAAAUUACAGCAUCACUUUAAUUUCCUAAAAAAAUAAGUGUUUCACCAUUUGUGACAAUUUAAUAUCUUAUGGGGCUCAAGCACAAUGUCAGAUGACAAAAUUAAUUUAGAGGGUUAAGCAGUGCGUUUGUGAUUUGUCUGAGGGAGCCUUAAUGGAAUUGUAGAUACUAGACAGGCUUAUUAUCCCACAUUUACAUUUGACCAUGUCCUCAUAAAGUUCACAUACUGGUAUAUCAUUAAUCAUAAUUAGAUGUAGUUAGUUGUUUUGUAUCAUAUUGUAAUUCAAAUUUUUUGAACAUUUUAAUCUCCGACUGCUACUAAAAGUGUUGCUUUAAAGUGAUGUGCCCUUAAUCCAAAAUGGUAAUAGGUUUUUGGAUUAAGAAUAAAGCUAUUGUUAUUAGAAUAAAACUUCUACUCCGAGUCUGUGUUGAAGCAUGGUGGUACACCCUUGGUGAAAAUUAUUUGUACUGUUCUUGUAUCCUCGCUUUGUAAAAACACCAAAUAUAGUCAUGCAUUGUUGAAUGGUCUUAGAAUCUAAUGUUGGGUUUAUUUAGCUGUGUUUAAUGUUCUCUGAUCAGAGCCAAUGCCUUGUACAUUAAACAUGUUGAUAUGAUGUAGAGCAGACUGUCUGAUUACAGAACUACAGUAUGUCCAAAGCUAAAAUGUGGAGGUGACCAUUCCAGGGUACAUAAAUUAUAUUGACUAAAGCCAUUUUUAGACAAGCCAAUGCAUCAGGUUGCAGCAUGUACAGUUGGUUAUUGAGUGUCUCCAAGUGAAUGUUGUCAAUGAGAGAAUCAUCUCUCUUAUGAAGAUAUUCUUAUAAAACUCAAUAAGUGCUUGUGUUGGCAACUACAGUAUAGUGAAGUGUCAUGUACCCAAAAGGGAUGACUGCAGAGGCCUACAAACAAAAUCGACUCCAUGUAGCUGCUCAACAAUCACCAUUGAAAUUGUGUUCACAAACACACUGCCGGUACCGACCAUAAUAUCAAAGGUAGUAAAUUCACAUAGUAGCUUAUCGUCUCUAAAUGUCAUAUUGUAGUGUUUGGCAUGCAUUUACCAGCCUGCUUCUGAAUGUGAACACCCCACCCCUCCAAAAAGAAAAUAGUGCUAGAAACAGUCAUGACUGUCAAGAUUACAAUUGGGUUUGAAUCCUACACUCUGCCUCAAGAGACUGACAGUAGACACAUUUAUUUCAUCUAUUUAUUUAUAAAUGUAUAAUACAUUUCAGAGGUUUAUUUUGCCCACAUGUACUGUUCCCACCCUCAGUAUGCCAUGUGGGGAAGGUUGUUGCCGAGUCUGGGGGACAUCUCUCUUCUAAACACAGGCAUACAACUCAUGCCCUGAGGUCGUGGCUAGUGCCCUCUCACUGCCACACUACCAGAGAACUAGGCAGGGUGCACCACCAAACCUCAUAGGGAAUGUCAACUAGUCCAUUAGGACACUGGCAUCCGUGUCCAGUGUGUUCACAAAAAGCUGUGCUUUAUUUGAUAGAAUUCUGUUACGAUGUAAACGUUUCGUACUUCUAAGUGGUUUGUAUAUGAAAUGAGUUGGCAUUGUUUUCAUAUUAUACAGUUUAAAAGAAGAAGAAAAAUGCUGUCUUUCCUUUAUAUAAUGAAUAAACUGUGAUGGAAUAUGAAUGUGCUCUUCAUAUCUUUUCUCUAGUCUUUCUGGGAUUAUGUUAAUUGUGGCUUGGACAUCAAUUGUCCGUUACUGCAUCUUCAUGUGAAAAGUCUCUUAACUCCCAAAAAUGCAACUC